rnacentral:misc_RNA from 1 species
CCGCUCUAUGGUUUAAUUGCCAAGCAAUCCAAUAUUCUAAUUAAAAUAGUCGCCGGGGACCCUCGUUCGAAAUUUGACGGCUUGGAGUCUCUUUCCUGUCACAAACAUCCCGGCCAGUCUAAUAUAGCGUGACGCAGUUUGUGUGCCAUGGAAUCGAAAGGGUUGUUAAAGAAUGAACAGUUGUAUCAGUAUGUACUGGAGACUAGUGUGUACCCACGCGAACCACAGCCUCUCAAGGAGCUAAGGAAUGUCACUGCUAACCACCCAAGGGCUGGAAUGGCCACUUCUCCAGAUGCUGGUCAGUUGAUAGCCAUGCUCUUGCAGCUAGUAAAUGCAAAAAAGACAAUAGAAGUGGGAGUCUUCACUGGAUACUCCCUUCUCCUCACCGCUCUUUCUAUCCCUGAGGAUGGAAAGAUUACUGCCAUAGAUGUCAAUCGUGAGACAUAUGAGAUAGGACUGCCAAUUAUAAGAAAAGCUGGUGUUGAAUACAAAAUUGACUUCAUAGAAUCUGAGGCUCUACCAGUUCUUGAUAAGUUACUGAGAGAUUAUGGAAAUGAAGGCAGUUUUGACUUUGCUUUUGUUGAUGCUGAUAAAGUCAAUUACUGGAACUACCAUGAGAGGCUAAUUAAAUUGCUAAAGGUGGGUGGAAUAGUUGUCUAUGAUAACACUCUCUGGGGAGGGACAGUUGCUAUGUCUGAAGAUUCAACUCCAGAGGUUAUGAAAAUGGGCAGACAGCUUACAAUUGACCUCAAUAAAUUGCUUGCAGUUGAUUCUCGUGUCCAAAUUUCACAUGCUUCACUGGGUGAUGGGAUCACAAUCUGCAGGAGACUUUACUGAUCUUUUUUGCUUGAACUUUAAACUUAUUUUACUUGUUUUCUGAUAUUGAGCUUUGAGUACAAUAAUUAUUCACAUAAUUCACACACAAUGGAUUUCCAUUGUGCAGGAAGUCUGGUUGGCUAUAAACAUUGAUGGCGAAAAUCCCAUCAUUUGUGUUCAAAAGAUUUAAAUAAAUUUAAAGUUCAAGCAAAAAAGAUCAGUAA